rnacentral:rRNA from 1 species
CCUGGUUGAUCCUGCCAGUAGCAUAUGCGUGUCUCAAAGAUUAUGCCAUGCACUUAUAAGUUUACACAGCCAGCACAAUGAAACUUCAAAUUGCUCAACAAAUCAGUUAUGGGUCCUUUGAUCACUCCAUUUGUCACUUGGAUAACUGUGAUGCUUCUAGAGCUCACACAAGCUGAGGAGUGCCAACCUCCCGGGAUGCGUGCAUUCAUCAACCAAGACCAAUGCAGGCUGCUUUGGUGACUCGAGAGGACCUUCGGCGAUCUCACAUUUUUGUGAUGGCGACAAUACAUUCAGAAGUCUGCCCUAUCAACAUUUGAUGGUACUUUCUGUGCCUACCAUGGUGGCCACGGGGAAGGGGGAAUCAGGGUUCGAUUCUGGAGAGGGAGCCUGAGAAACAGCUACCACAUCCAAGGAAGGCAGCAGGCGCGCAAAUUACCCACUCCCGACUCGGGGAGGUAGUGACGUAAAAUAACAAUACAGGACUCUUUCGAGGCCCUGUAAUUGGAAUGAGUGCUCUUUGAAUCCUUUCACGAGGAUCCUUUGGAGGGCAAGUCUGGUGCCAGCAGCCAUGGUAAUUCCAGAUCCAAUAGCGUCUGUUAAAUUUGCUGCAGUGAAAAAGGUCAUAGUUGUAUCCUGGGAUUGAGCUGGCGAUCUGCCGCAAGACGAGCUACCCCCUGUCCCAGCCCCUGCCUCUCGGCACCCCCUUGAUACUCUUGAGUGAGAGUCCUGGGGUCCAGAGCAUUUUCCAAAAAUGAGGGUGUUCAAAGCACUCUGGUCGCCUGACUACAUCAUCUAGGUAUAAUGGAAUGGGAAUGGGAUUCUAUUUUGUUGGUCUUUGGAACUUGUACCAUGAUUCAAAGAGAUGACCAGGGACAUUCGCAUUGUGCCGCUAUAGGUGAAGCUCAUGGACUGGAACAAGACAAACAAAAGCAAAAGCAUUUGCCCAGAAUGUUUUCAUUAAUCAAGAUUCGCAUGAGAUGCUGAGCAGCUUCCGGGAAACCAAAGUCUUUGGGUUCCCUGGGGGAGUAUGCUUGCAAGCUGAAACUUUAAAAAAUGUAUGGAAUGGCACCACCAGGAGUGUAGCCCGUGGCUUAAUUUGACUCAACAUGGGAAACCUCACCCAACCCAUACACGGAAAGGAUUGACGGAUGGAUAUCUCUUACUCAGUUCUGUGGGUGGUGGUGCAUGGUCGGUCUGAGUUGGUGGAGCGAUUUGUCUGGUUAACUCUGAUAAGAAAUUAGGCUCCUCCAUGCAUACGGUUUAGGUGACUCCCAGCAGACAGUUUUAAAAUUCUUAGCGGGAGGUGUUUACCAACAUGAGACCAAGCAAUGAAAGGUCUGUGAUGCCCUUAGAUGUCUGGGGCUGCACUCAUGCUACACAGAAUGGAUCAGCAUGUGUCAACCCACAGUUAACCUGCUGAAUUCCCAAUAAGUAUGAGUCAUAAUCCUAUGGUGAUUAGUCCUGCUCUUUGUACACACCGCCUGUCGCUACUUGGAUUGGUUAGUGAGGUCCUCAGAUUGGCCCGCUGGGGUAGCAACAGCCCUGGCAGAGCACCAAGCAGAUGAUCAAACUUGACUAUCUUGAUUAUAAGUCGAAACACGGUUUCCGUAGGUGAAUCUUCAGAAU